UGCACUGGCUGUCGAGUGGCGCACGGGUGAGUAAUGUAUAGCUUACGUGCCCCAUAGAGGGGGAUAACUACUAGAAAUGGUAGCUAAUACCCCAUACUCCUUAUAGUAGGGAUACUAUAAGGGAAAGGAGUAAUCCGCUAUGGGAUCGGGCUAUAUCGUAUCAGCUAGUUGGUGAGGUAAAGGCUCACCAAGGCUAUGACGCGUAGCUGGUCUGAGAGGAUGAUCAGCCACACUGGAACUGAGACACGGUCCAGACUCCUACGGGAGGCAGCAGUGGGGAAUAUUGCACAAUGGGGGAAACCCUGAUGCAGCAACGCCGCGUGGAGGAUGACGCAUUUCGGUGUGUAAACUCCUUUUAUAUGGGAAGAUGAUGACG
rnacentral:rRNA from 1 species